AUACGGAGGGGGCUAGCGUUGUUCGGAAUUACUGGGCGUAGAGGGCGCGUAGGCGGACUAUCAAGUCAGGGGUGAAAGGCCUGGGCUCAACCCGGGAACUGCCUUUGAAACUGAAAGUCUAGAGUCCGAGAGAGGAUAGCGGAAUUCCCAGUGUAGAGGUGAAAUUCGUAGAUAUUGGGAAGAACACCAGUGGCGAAGGCGGCUAUCUGGCUCGGUACUGACGCUGAGGCGCGAAAGCGUGGGGAGCAAACAGGAUUAGAUACCCCGGUAGUCC
rnacentral:rRNA from 1 species